GGGCUUUUCACUGAUGUUGACAAAGAGAAUCAACGGAACAUGAUGAAGGCCCAGAAACAAACAAAUAUGUGUGUACAUACAUAUAGAGACAGAGAGAGAGAGAGACAGAGAGGGAAAUGGUUCAUUUUAUGUGUCAACUUGCCCUGGUUCUCAGGCCUUCAGACAGGCUGGGAUGUCACCAUUGACUACCCUGGUUCUUGGGCCUUCGGGCUUGGACUGGACCUACCCCACCAGCUUUCCUGGGCCUCCCACUUGCAGAUGGCAGAUGGAGGGAUUUCUCAGUCUCCAUAAUCAGAAUAGACUAGAGGAAGGAGCGGAAGCAGAGUUGGUCUGAGAAAGCGGGGCUGACGAGGGCAGAUGGAGGAAAUGACACAGGCAAAUCUGGAACCCUGACCACUGUCACACAGAGCCUAGGUGGCAGCAAGCCUGGGUCACCUUUAGAGAGACCAUGGAGGGAAGUCCCAGGACUCCGGGCAGUUUCCAAGGCCAGCAACUGAUCACAGAUUUCUUCCCAUUGGCUGGAAGUAUAAUAAACACACGUUACAGCCUGACUGACUCCAGAGAGAAUCCUCUAACGGUUCAGGGGAAAGAGGAGAAAAUGCAGCUCUUUGCCCUUUUCCCUCCCUCUUAGCAUGAGUCGAAUGCUAACCUGAA
rnacentral:lncRNA from 1 species